rnacentral:lncRNA from 1 species
CAAGUCGGCAGUUCAGUUCCUUGAAAUUUUAAUCUAACAGGGUAUAUUAAAUGGAAAUACAUUUUCUAUAAUGAAACUUCAAAAAGGAAGGAGUCCGCUAUUUUCAAUCCUGGCGUAACUGGCACUCAACAUCUCGAUGAAAACGGUUGGAAAAGAAAAGCUUUCAAAGCCAUUCUGUUCUCAGAGUACCCAAGCCAACUAAACUGGUACAGUUAACGCGCCAGCCAGAGGCAGGAGCCAAGGCCUAACACUUCCCGGACUGCUUUGCAGCAGACCUUCAAACCAACCUAGUGGUUAGAUGUUAAUGCCGUUGAAUUCCAGAGUAAACAGUGACAAGAAGACCAUCUAUACCUCUUUCUAUCAAUAUUAGUCCUUUAGUAGCCCAAGUAUCUGCCUAAAGUUAACAUUCUUGAGUUUUGUGGGGCACUGAUCCUGCUGGAAAAUCCUGUAGAGUGUGAGCUUCCUAACGUAGUAGUAUCUCUGAGAUGCCUGUGUGCAUGCGUGUGCAUGCACGCGUGUGCAUGCGUGUUUUGGAGGCUAGAGUCAGUGCUGACUGAAUAUCUUCCUCCACUGCCCUCCGCCUUAUCUCUUGAGACCCUGGAGCUCAUCAGCUUGCCUAGAUGGGCUAGGGCUAGCCAGUGGGCUCCGGUGCUUCAUCCGUUUCUACCUCCUCCCCAGAGCUGGGGUUAAAGCCGUGUCCCUGUGCUUGCCUGUGUGUCCUGCAGAUCUAAUUGCAGUUCCUCAUACUGUGCAGCAAGCACUUUACUAACUGGACCAUCGCCCUAGCCCUCAGAUAUCAAUAUUUG